GGCAAUCCUCAUCAGUUUCCGGGUGAGCAAAGACCACACUCACUUCGAACAAGCUCUAAGACAAAAAAGAACGGAAUCCGUGAUGCCUGCCGAGCUGCGUGCCAUGGAAAGAAACAAUUCCAGAUUACUUUUGGCAUUCAUGAUGCAGUUCCACAGGGUGGAUCAUCGCUAUUGGGCUCAGGAAACAAGCAUCAAGUGGUGUGAUCACAUCAUCAUGCAGCAGCCAGGCAGCAUGCUAUGAGCCAUCAGACACACAGAGGAAGAAGAGAAAAAAAAUGCAAGUGAAAUCAAGCCCCAACAACAUUCAAUCAUCAAACUAUCUGACAGUGCUGUUAAUAAAAAUCACUUUGUUCUAUAAGGGAAACUAAUGUUUGCAAAGCCAAGAAUUUCCAGAUAUUUAUUAGGAGUUUAAACUACACUUUCAUUUUGCUUUGGAACUGAAAUAAGAAGACAGGAGUAAACCCUCAAUCUCACAGGUUUACCAUCUGAUUUUUUAAAGAGAAGAUUAUCAAUUUUUUUUGAAGUAUUCCCUCUUUGCAGGAGUAAUCCCCUGUUAUCUAAGUAUGAGCUCUCCCCUGCUUACUGUCCCAAAAAAAUAUCCAAUAAAGAGCUCUUACCUCCCCUGGGGCAGGCACUCAGAAGCUAAGGUAAUUUUUUUUUUAGUUGGAUCAAUUUUCACUAUGGCUAUUGGAAAUCUAUGGGGGGGAUUUUAACAAAUGUUGCUCUGAGCUUUUAUCCCAAUUUUUUAAAUAAAGUAUGUGUGAAAACUGUACACUUCUCAAA